AAUCCAUUGUGUGGGCAGUCACAUAUUAGCCCCUUGAAUCUCGCCCAUGCGUCACUGACUGAUUCAUCUUCUUCUUGUUCAAAAUUAGUGAUCAAUCUCCUCCUUUU